rnacentral:misc_RNA from 1 species
UGAUGAAUGGAAAUGGCUCUUUUCAUCAGGCUCAAGCAUUACAAGGUAUGUCAAAUGGUCAAACAUCGCAAGGAAGCUCUAAAAUGGCCAAUGGACUGGAAAGGCAGUUGAGUUUUCAUAAGCAUAUGUCGGGAGGACAGUCAAGGAAUCCUGAUGAAACUAGAUCUCCUUCACACAGUGUUGGGUCUCAUGAUAUUGGUUCAAAUUAUAGCCUCGAGAAGAAACGAGCCAUGAGAGAGAAACAUGGUGGCAGCCUAUAUAGGAGUAAUAGCAAGAACAGCUUUUGAUAGGCGGGGCAGAUUUUGUUGAGACUAUCAUCAGCAGAAUAGUGUCUGAUCCUAUUCAUGCAAUGGCUAAGAAAUUCCAUGAAAUGACAGGACAUUCUGCAUCUCUAGUGAAGGAGAGUAUCCGUGAGAUCAUGUUAAACGUUGAUAAGCAAGGACAACUAUAUGCAUU